CACGUAGGGUGCGAGCGUUGUCCGGAAUUAUUGGGCGUAAAGAGCUCGUAGGCGGUGUGUCGCGUCGGCCGUGAAAACCUGUGGCUUAACUGCGGGCUUGCGGUCGAUACGGGCAUCACUGGAGUUCGGCAGGGGAGACUGGAAUUCCUGGUGUAGCGGUGAAAUGCGUAGAUAUCGGGAGGAACCCCUGCGGUGUAGACGGCUUCCUGGACCGCCACUGACGCUGAGGCACGAAAGCGUGGGUAGCAAACAGG
rnacentral:rRNA from 1 species